GGGGCUGUGGCUCAGAGGUAGAGUGCUUGCCUACCAUGCGUGGGGCACUGGGUUCGAUCCCCAGCACCA
rnacentral:tRNA from 1 species